GUUUGGGUAGCUUAAACCAAAGCAUUGUUCUUGUAAACCAAAGAUGGGCCUAGUCCCCCAAACA
rnacentral:tRNA from 1 species